UUCCUUUCUUCUCUCUCUUCAUUCUCUCGAAUCAAAAACACAUUUUCUUCAAGAACUUGGCCAAUUUUCUAACAACUUCAUACAUUCACCAAGAACAUUCAACAAAGAAAAUCAUCAAAACCUUGAAAUUUCUUCUCCUUUCCUCUUCCCUUCAGCCGCGUACACCACCACCAUAGAGCCGCUGCUCGAGCCGCCCUUUCACGGUGAGACUCCCUCCGGCAAAUGCACCUCCGCACACGGCCAAGAUCGUCGCGGACUCACAGCUACUCCUCCUUCUCCCGCUCGUUUUCCGGUCGCUUCCUCCUCGUGAUUUCGGCACCGCGCACAAUCCUUCUCCGAUUGCAACUCUCCAACAUCCUCUUUGAUCUUGAUUCGUAAGAACCAGAUUUCAAUUAACAUUAGAAAUCAAAGAGUUUGUACAGCAACAAAUUCAGAAGGAUAAUAUCCCAGCCAGGUCCUAGAACCCAACCUUUUCCCUAUUCCAACUAAAUUAUGGGCAUCAACAUUUAAGCUUCUAGCCUCUAGGAAUAAAUAACACAACAGCAAAAUUAAAAGAUUUCAGCAUCAGUCUGCAGUCCUCUGCAAUAUGCUCCAUCGCAGCGAUGUGGAGGCAGCCGUUAAUACAAUCAACUGCUUCGAGUGCAUCCGAUUGCAGCAGGAUCCUGCGAAGCUUCAACUCCUGAGCAACCCCCAGCCCCCACCUGAUUGCCAACAGCUCCGCAGUAAGUGGAUUCACCACCAUAUCUUCCUUCUUACACGCCGCGGUAACAGUCUUCUGCUCUCGAUCCCGGAUUACACUCCCAAAAGCUAUGGUACCGUUAGUACUUAUUCCCGCAUCAACCUGAACCGUUGUUAAAAUGAUGACACUUGAUGUUAAAUGAAAGUUGUUAAAAUGAUGACACUUGAUGUUAAAUGAAAGUUGUUAAAAUGAUGGAUGUUAA